UAUCUCUGUAGAGUCUGCAUAUCAAUAAGCGGAGGAAAAGAAACUAACAAGGAUUCCCCUAGUAACGGCGAGUGAAGCGGGAAGAGCUCAAAUUUGAAAUCUUAAAGGGUUUCCCUUUACGAAUUGUAGUUUAAAGAAGUGUUUUCUGUUGGAGUUUUGGUAAAAGUUCUUUGGAAUAGGACAUCAUAGAGGGUGAGAAUCCCGUAUUUGACCGUUACUUUCCAGCUGUGUGAUACACUUUCAAAGAGUCGGAUUGUUUGGGAAUGCAGUCCAAAAUGGGUGGUAAAUUUCAUCUAAAGCUAAAUAUUGGCGAGAGACCGAUAGCGAACAAGUACCGUGAGGGAAAGAUGAAAAGAACUUUGAAAAGAGAGUUAAACAGUACGUGAAAUUGUCAAAAGGGAAGCGUUUGACACCAGUGUUGUUUUCUCGAAAGUCAAUUAAAAAUGGCGGGAUUUUGUGUUGUAUUGACUUUAUCAGCUUUCUGCACUCUUUUUCCUGUCUUUUUUAAUGCACCUUUUCGUUUAACAAGUCAACAUCAAUUUCUUUUGUUGUAAAAGGGUCAUUGGAAGGUGGCUUUCUUUUCGGAGAAAGUGUUUAUAGCCUUGUACUUCUGCAAUCGGAGAGAUUGAGGUCUGCAGCGUAGAUCCUUCGGGGUUAGAUACACUUGUGCUAAGUUAUAGCUUUUCAUAGACAACUUGUUGAUUAUGAUUAGUCUUGUAGCUUACUCGCUUGUACUAUUUUACCUACGCUUAGGAUGUUGAGUAGCGACAUACGCAC
rnacentral:rRNA from 1 species